UGGGGAAUCUUGCGCAAUGGGCGCAAGCCUGACGACGCAACGCCGCGUGGAGGAUGAAGGUCUUCGGAUCGUAAACUCCUGUUGCCCGGGACGAAUGGCUUCGACCUAAUACGUCGGAGUAUGACGGUACCGGGUGAGGAAGCCCCGGCUAACUCUGUGCCAGCAGCCGCGGUAAUACAGAGGGGGCAAGCGUUGUUCGGAAUUACUGGGCGUAAAGGGCGCGUAGGCGGCCUGUUAAGUCGAACGUGAAAUCCCUGGGCUCAACCCAGGAACUGCGUCCGAUACUGGCUGGCUUGAAUCCGGGAGAGGGAUGCGGAAUUCCAGGUGUAGCGGUGAAAUGCGUAGAUAUCUGGAGGAACACCGGUGGCGAAGGCGGCAUCCUGGACCGGUAUUGACGCUGAGGCGCGAAAGCCAGGGGAGCAAACGGGAUUAGAUACCCCAGUAGUCCCUGAGCGGGCUGGCAAGGCGCAU
rnacentral:rRNA from 1 species